GUUCUUAAGAUUUUUGCCUUUAUCACUAGUUUUGAACAAUUUGAGCAAUUUGAUUAUUUGUGCUUUGGUGUAGAGAUUUUAUGUUUCCUGUGUUUAAGGGUCAUUAAGCUUCUUGGACCUCAGUUAUAAUUUUCGUCAAAUUUUGAAAAAUUUUCUCCAUUAUUCCUUAAAAUUUUUCUGUCCCACUCUUCUCUCCUCUACUUUGGAAACUCCAGUUACACAUAUUUAAGGCUAAAGUUGUUCAUAGUUCACUGAUGCUCUGUUGUUGUUGUUUUUUUUCUUUCUUUUUUCUCUCUCUAUAUGAUGGCUUUAUAAAACGAAAACUUGGCUAGGCUGAACUACAUUUCACAAACUUUCCUUUCUUGUGUGUUUACAGAUUGGGUGGGUCACAAGAACUCAUCUUUCAUGAUUUGGAAGCUGGAAGGAAAGAAGCACUUUUGUAGCUGACUCACCUCAAUGGCAUGAACAGUGUCUGAGCCUACAACUGCGCUACCGUCUCUGGAUUUUUCUUCACUUUUUCCUCACUCAUGAGCCAGCAUCUUCUGUCCCUUCUCCCCUGAUUCUUCCUUUGGAGUGAGCAUGCACAGUGGCCUGCUAGCACAUGGGAGGGACCACAUGCACUGUGUGUUUACUGGAGUUGUAUGCAUGCUAAGAACACAGGUGGAGAUCAAUCAGUGGAGGAAACUGCAUUCCUAAACACUGACACCACUGGAUUAUUGAAGAUUAUGGUGUAAUAGCUUCAAAAUUCUGAAGGAAGAUGAUUGUGAAUCUAAAAUUCUGUAUCCAGGCAAACUAAUGUAUAAGAAAAAAGGCAAAAUAAAGGCAUUUUCAAAAUAUGCAACAAGUCAGAAAGUUUACUUCUGCAGACAACUCCAGGAAAAUAAAAUAUAAAUCCAAGGAAGAUGAAGACAUGGGAUAAAGGAAAUAUAGGUAUAUAAAGAAAUCAGUAAAAAUUGUGGUUGUAUCUAAAUCGUAUUGUUACGUAAUGAGUGUCAACUGAAAUAACAGCCAGAGAGAGACUCUCUAAAAUACAAUGAUAUUUAUCUGGGAAGGAGCAUUGCAAGGGAAUUCACAUACUGUGGUAAAGUAUGUGCAUAUUCAGGGAGAUAAAGGAAGACAAAGGUUUUUAAUGGAAAAAUGAGAAAGAUUACAUAAUUGUUUUGAGUUAAAUUGUUCUGAGAUCUUUGGCUACAAAAAUUAGUUACAAGGGUGGCACCAGUCAGAAGUUGGAGAGGCAGUUGCUGGGCAGAUGCCCUUUCAAAAGCAUUUGUGUGUGUGUGUGUAAGGUUGUGAUGGCUGUUGUGUAAGGGUGUGGUUUUUGGAGUCUUUUGUGAGAGUUCUUAUUAUCAGGCAUUUGUAUAUGAGACCCCUGCUACCCCUGCUUCAUGGCUUUCCCUGGCUCUGUUUCUCAAGGUUUUUAAUAUGAGUGACUCCAUUUUGAUUCUGACAACUUUCAUAUAAGGGUGACAUACGUUACUGGUAAUUUCUAGAAGAAUAGGAAUAUGUAUUUUCUAACCCAACAGAAGGCAUGAAGAAAAAAAAGCAACCAUAAACCAUAGUAAAUUAAAAAUAUUAAAUUAUAAUAAAGAAGUUAAAAGUUUACAAUUGUCAGUAACCACAAAAAAUGUACAUGUGUUAUAUAUCUUGUAUUAGAAGGCAACCUUUGUUUUAUGUUAAAACUGUCUCAGAACUUCAC
ensembl:lncRNA